rnacentral:rRNA from 1 species
UGCAAGCCGAGCGGUAGAGAUCUUUCGGGAUCUUGAGAGCGGCGUACGGGUGCGGAACACGUGUGCAACCUGCCUUUAUCUGGGGGAUAGCCUUUCGAAAGGAAGAUUAAUACCCCAUAAUAUACUGAAUGGCAUCAUUCGGUAUUGAAAACUCCGGUGGAUAGAGAUGGGCACGCGCAAGAUUAGAUAGUUGGUGAGGUAACGGCUCACCAAGUCUGCGAUCUUUAGGGGGCCUGAGAGGGUGAUCCCCCACACUGGUACUGAGACACGGACCAGACUCCUACGGGAGGCAGCAGUGAGGAAUAUUGGACAAUGGGUGAGAGCCUGAUCCAGCCAUCCCGCGUGAAGGACGACGGCCCUAUGGGUUGUAAACUUCUUUUGUAUAGGGAUAAACCUACCCUCGUGAGGGUAGCUGAAGGUACUAUACGAAUAAGCACCGGCUAACUCCGUGCCAGCAGCCGCGGUAAUACGGAGGGUGCAAGCGUUAUCCGGAUUUAUUGGGUUUAAAGGGUCCGUAGGCGGAUCUGUAAGUCAGUGGUGAAAUCUCACAGCUUAACUGUGAAACUGCCAUUGAUACUGCAGGUCUUGAGUGUUGUUGAAGUAGCUGGAAUAAGUAGUGUAGCGGUGAAAUGCAUAGAUAUUACUUAGAACACCAAUUGCGAAGGCAGGUUACUAAGCAACAACUGACGCUGAUGGACGAAAGCGUGGGGAGCGAACAGGAUUAGAUACCCUGGUAGUCCACGCCGUAAACGAUGCUAACUCGUUUUUGGAAUGUAAGUUUCAGAGACUAAGCGAAAGUGAUAAGUUAGCCACCUGGGGAGUACGAACGCAAGUUUGAAACUCAAAGGAAUUGACGGGGGCCCGCACAAGCGGUGGAUUAUGUGGUUUAAUUCGAUGAUACGCGAGGAACCUUACCAAGGCUUAAAUGGGAAAUGACAGGUUUAGAAAUAGACUUUUCUUCGGACAUUUUUCAAGGUGCUGCAUGGUUGUCGUCAGCUCGUGCCGUGAGGUGUUAGGUUAAGUCCUGCAACGAGCGCAACCCCUGUCACUAGUUGCCAUCAUUAAGUUGGGGACUCUAGUGAGACUGCCUACGCAAGUAGAGAGGAAGGUGGGGAUGACGUCAAAUCAUCACGGCCCUUACGCCUUGGGCCACACACGUAAUACAAUGGCCGGUACAGAGGGCAGCUACACUGCGAAGUGAUGCAAAUCUCGAAAGCCGGUCUCAGUUCGGAUUGGAGUCUGCAACUCGACUCUAUGAAGCUGGAAUCGCUAGUAAUCGCGCAUCAGCCAUGGCGCGGUGAAUACGUUCCCGGGCCUUGUACACACCGCCCGUCAAGCCAUGGAAGUCUGGGGUACCUGAAGUCGGUGACCGUAACA